rnacentral:rRNA from 1 species
AGCGAACGCUGGCGGCAGGCUUAACACAUGCAAGUCGAGCGGGCAUAGCAAUAUGUCAGCGGCAGACGGGUGAGUAACGCGUGGGAACGUACCUUUUGGUUCGGAACAACUGAGGGAAACUUCAGCUAAUACCGGAUAAGCCCUUACGGGGAAAGAUUUAUCGCCGAAAGAUCGGCCCGCGUCUGAUUAGCUAGUUGGUGAGGUAAUGGCUCACCAAGGCGACGACCAGUAGCUGGUCUGAGAGGAUGAUCAGCCACAUUGGGACUGAGACACGGCCCAAACUCCUACGGGAGGCAGCAGUGGGGAAUAUUGGACAAUGGGCGCAAGCCUGAUCCAGCCAUGCCGCGUGAGUGAUGAAGGCCCUAGGGUUGUAAAGCUCUUUUGUGCGGGAAGAUAAUGACGGUACCGCAAGAAUAAGCCCCGGCUAACUUCGUG